GUGAGAACACAGUGGAUUCGGAUUCACCGCCCCCGGCAGCCGUUACCGUGGCAACUCCCGCGGAGAACCCUCACCGACUGUGGAUUUGAUUUCUGUCCCAUAACCAGCGACUGUGACUGGGCAUCGAGUCGGCUCUUUAAGACCAGACCACCGGAUCGAUGGCGCUAGCUUUACCAGGGCGCUAACAGCCUCCGCAGUGUCUCCGUUAGAUCCACUGGUUUGCACAGGGAACAAGGGCCGACUCUGACCCCUGUGGAAGGUCCUCAAGGGCCCUCCUGAAGAGAGGAGGAGCGAGAGGGAAGGAAAUUGCUAGUUGCUUAUGAACGCUGGCUCUGUCUGUCUGUCUCUGCUCCUCCUUGACCCGGUGUAAGGUUGAGUCCAUUUACUGCAUGUCACCAUCAGUCGGCGUCUUGGCUUAAAAAUGGAGCAGUCCGACCA